AGAGCAUUUUCACAGUAGUGGACUUGAUUUUCUCUUUCAUUCUCUUAUUUUCCCUCCCGCCAAACAUCAGCAUAAACCCUAGAAAGCCCACAAAACUCCACUCCACUCCACUCCACUCCACUCUGAGCCGAGGAGUAGUAGAAGAAUGGUGAAAAGCUUCACUCUCAUUCAAGCAAUUGCCACCUCAGGCGUCUUCUCUGCUGUUUCUUUCUGGUACGGUUUCAUGUUUGGCAGAGAAUCUUCUCGCAAGGAGCUUGGCGAUUUGAUCGAAAAUCUUCGCCGCCGCAAUUCCGAACCCACUUCUCCUUCGAAUCCCUAAAUUUGUGCUUGUGUCAAGGUUGACCGCAUCAAGUGGCCUGUGAAAACAUCUCUGAUGUGCUUCUUUGAACCAAGUGAUGGGAAAGAUCCUACUGCUGAGAUACAAUGGAAAAGAAUGAAAAAGAAUCGAUGAAUUUUACUCAGCUAGUUCAAUGAAAAAUGAAUUUUGGUAGCGUCUUUGUUUCCUCCAAGUUCUCAGCCAUAUCUUUUGGAGUGAUAAUCAAUGGGUGGUUUUGUUUUGCCUCAAUCCACCAAUCCCCACAAACUCAGACAAGUUCUCGUUGGUAUAUAUGUUUACGGAUGCGCUGCAUAUACAUGGAUGACACAACUUUCUUUGCUUUUCGUUGGUUUAGGAUAAGAAUGGAGCGUCUUUCCAUGAGGGAAAACAUGUGGUGGUGAUGAAAUCUCUGCUUUCAUUUUCUUGGAUUUGGUUUUUAUUUUUAUGACUAAAAGUAUCAAUAGUUGUAUUCUUCUACUGUUCCAUCAAUCACAUGCUUGAUUGGC